rnacentral:rRNA from 1 species
GACGAACGCUGGCGGCGUGCCUAAUACAUGCAGGUCGAGCGAAGUUUUUCUGGUGCUUGCACUAGAAAAACUUAGCGGCGAACGGGUGAGUAACACGUAAAGAACCUGCCUCAUAGACUGGGACAACUAUUGGAAACGAUAGCUAAUACCAGAUAACAGCAUUAACUGCAUGGUUGAUGUUUGAAAGUUGGUUUUGCUAACACUAUGAGAUGGCUUUGCGGUGCAUUAGCUAGUUGGUGGGGUAAAGGCCUACCAAGGCGACGAUGCAUAGCCGACCUGAGAGGGUGAUCGGCCACACUGGGACUGAGACACGGCCCAGACUCCUACGGGAGGCAGCAGUAGGGAAUCUUCCGCAAUGGGCGAAAGCCUGACGGAGCAACGCCGCGUGAGUGAAGAAGGAUUUCGGUUCGUAAAGCUCUGUUGUUAGGGAAGAAUGAUUGUGUAGUAACUAUACACAGUAGAGACGGUACCUAACCAGAAAGCCACGGCUAGCUACGUGCCAGCAGCCGCGGUAAUACGUAGGUGGCAAGCGUUGUCCGGAAUUAUUGGGCGUAAAGCGCGCGCAGGUGGUUUAAUAAGUCUGAUGUGAAAGCCCACGGCUCAACCGUGGAGGGUCAUUGGAAACUGUUAAACUUGAGUGCAGGAGAGAAAAGUGGAAUUCCUAGUGUAGCGGUGAAAUGCGUAGAGACUAGGAGGAACACCAGUGGCGAAGGCGGCUUUUUGGCCUGUAACUGACACUGAGGCGCGAAAGCGUGGGGAGCAAACAGG